rnacentral:rRNA from 1 species
GACUAACGCUGGCGGCGUGCCUAACACAUGCAAGUCGAACGAGGGUAUAGCAAUAUAUUCCUAGUGGCAGACGGGUGAGUAAUACGUAGAUAACGUGCCCCCUUGUUUGGGAUAGCCACUCGAAAGGGUGGGUAAUACCGGAUGAGUUCGUCGGGAGGCAUCUCUUGGCGAGGAAAGCAGUAAUGCGCAAGGGGAGCGGUUUGCGUCCUAUUAGCUAGUUGGUGGGGUAACAGCCUACCAAGGCGACGAUGGGUAGCCGGUCUGAGAGGAUGAUCGGCCACAUUGGGACUGAGACACGGCCCAAACUCCUACGGGAGGCAGCAGUGGGGAAUCUUGCGCAAUGGGCGAAAGCCUGACGCAGCCAUGCCGCGUGGAUGAUGAAGGUCUUAGGAUUGUAAAAUCCUUUCACCGGUGAAGAUAACGACUGUAGCCGGAGAAGAAGCCCCGGCUAACUUCGUGCCAGCCGCCGCCGUAAGAC